GAGCGGGUCGCCGCGUGCCGGCCGG
rnacentral:siRNA from 1 species